UACAGAGGGCGCGAGCGUUGUCCGGAAUCACUGGGCGUAAAGGGCGCGUAGGCGGUCGUGACAAGUCACUUGUGAAAUCUCCGGGCUUAACUCGGAACGGUCAAGUGAUACUGUCGGACUAGAGUACAGAAGGGGCAACUGGAAUUCUCGGUGUAGCGGUGAAAUGCGUAGAUAUCGAGAGGAACACCUGCGGCGAAGGCGGGUUGCUGGGCUGAUACUGACGCUGAGGCGCGAAAGCCAGGGGAGCGAACGGG
rnacentral:rRNA from 1 species